UUUUGAUGACAUAAUAAGUUGUUGGAAUUUGGAAAUUUAAUGUAGGAAAAGAGGUGCUGUUUUGGUAGACAAUUUGGAAAUAGCACAUUUUGAUGAAAUCUACUAUAAUUCAAGUAGUGAAGACAUUGCAUUGUCUGCUGAGUUCAAAAUUUACUUGAACACAUACCUCAAGAACUUGGUGGCUUCACCGGUUCGAUCCUUGGCAGACGUGAUAGUCUUCAACAAUAAAAACUCAAAACUGGUGAGUAAAUAGGAGCAAGGGUUUAUGUAACUUUCAAAUCAUAUGCUCAGAAUUUGUCCUAAGUAAUUGGUUGAGCUACCGGCAAUGCAGGAGAAAGUGAAGGAGUAUGGCCAAGGCCUACUCUUGAAAUCUGAAGCAACAAAUGGGAUUGGCAAUGCAGAGAAGGCAGCGCUGGUAAACUUGGCAAAGCUAUCCAAAAAUGGUUUCGAGAAGCUCGUGACGAAGAAGAGGCUAGACGCAGUGGUGGCUCCAUCUGCAACCGUGUCGACGUUGCUCGCCAUAGCAGGCUCCCCAGGAGUGGUUGUCCCAGCAGGAUAUACUAAAGAUGGGGUACCGUUUGGCAUCUCCUUUGGCGGGCUGAGGGGUUCGGAGCCAAAGCUAAUUGAGAUAGCAUACGGCUUUGAGCAAGCCACUAAGAUUAGGAAGCCUCCUUCACUUAAAAACUUCAAGAUUUAGAGCCCCAUUUUAUUGGUAUUGAAGCUAAUGGGCGUGCUAUUGUAGUCUUACCACAAUAUCAAUAGCAUUAAGAGUACAAGUGAUAGUCUAAACUAUAAGAGAGUUGAUGAAAGGUAUGAAAGAUUUUUUUUUUUUUUUUAAUGUUUACAAGUCAGGGUUUUUUUUUUUCACUGUGCUAGACCCGGUUGGCAACAAAAUAUGUAUGAUUUAAACAUUAUAAACAUGAUCCACAACCAUAGGAAACAUAAUAUAACUAAGUAAAUAAUAAGCCAAAGUGAAACUCCUAUCCCGUGAGAAUUAACCAAUUAAAUAUCAUCUAAUCAAAUUGCUCUCACCAUCAGGGGCGGAUGCACAGAGGGACAAUAGGGGUCAAGUGCCUUAUGGCAACUGAAAAGGUAGCUGUAGAGGUCUCAAACGACCCCAUGGCUGGCUGGUGUGCGACCUCGAAGGUGCACACUAGAUGUUUGAUGAAAGGUUUGAAAGACCUAGUGAUGCUGCUGUUGCGCGCAGCACAGCGAGGUAAUUUUUUUUUUUCAAAAUCACAUGGCCAAAACAACGUUGUUUUGGUCCAAGCGUAUUCAAAUUUUUUUUAAUGACCUGACUUCAAAACGACGUCGCUUUAAGCCAGCUUUUAUAAAAUUUAAAUUUAUAAAAAUAAAAAUAAAAGAACAGAACCCACCCUUUUUUUUCACAUUUACACCAGGUCUUAAAUAUGUUGAUCUUUAGAGCACUUCCAGCGCGCGUUUUCAACCCGGGCAAGAGGGGCCCAAAGGCCACAAUCCAACUCCACCGCGCCAAGUCCAGCCAGGGCAAGGUUUGGGUCUCACGAGCCUCGUAAGCCCACAAGCAAAUUCAGCUUGAGCUGCUACCUAGGCAAAAUGACACAAUGCUGACGUCAUAAUGAUGUCAUCAAUCAAGAAAGAUUUUGAAAAAAAAUACCAAAAUUUCAGAAUUAUAUAUAUAAAUAUCUAGUCAUAUUCUUUACUUCCUACAUCAAAAACUUCUUUCAAAUUCAUCUCCUCAUAUCUCAUGUGAAUAGUAAUUGCCCUUGUCAUGGCCCAUAGGGGUGGAAACAAAAUUGCAAGGGUUGCCAUUAUUCAUGUGAAUAGUGACAGCCCUUGCCUUGCCCUUGCCUUGCCCUUGCCCUUGCCUUGCCUUUGCCCAUAGGGGUGAAAGUGCUCUUAUAUCAAUUUCUUCAUAUAUUACAACUGUACUAGUACAAACACCCCUUUUACUUGCCCAGCUAGACUCACCCCCCCAAAUGAAUAUUUCUUCCUCCUCUCAUCAACAAUUGAUUAAGGGGUUAUUGAUAGUGUUUUGAUUAAUUGAUUAAUGCUUGUGUUUUGAUUAAUUGAUUAGGGCUUUGUGUUUUGAUUAGUUUAUUAGGGCUUUUUUUUAAUAUUUGAUUAGGGUCUUGUGCUCAGGUUUUUUUUACAUGUUUUGUGUUUUGAUUAGUUGAUUAGGAAUGAAAAUGCUAUUGUUUAAUUUUUCAAUGUUUAUUUUGUUUUGAAGAAAAAUUUCGAAAUCUUUACACUAUGACCCCAUAUUCUAAGAAUCCUAAAUCUGCCACUGCUCACUAUACCUAUUUUUUCUCUAACUUCUUAACCACAACCCAUAAAUCACUAAUUCUUAUGUGAAAUAAAUCUACUAAAUUAUGUUGAAAGAGUUUGACCAAAAAAAAAAAUUAUGUGGGAAGACUACAAUGUACAAACAACUUGUCGUCCAUGAUAACUCUAAUAAGGAAAAAGUAUGAUUUUGUGUGUCUUCGGAUACUUUUUUUUAUUCCAGUUUUGACAUUGAAAUUUUUUGAGUCGCGACACAUGCAAUGACCAGGAACGACACAACUCAUAAAUCUGCAAUUAGGAAACCACACAUCAUCAAAUUGUGUGGCCAACACCAACCACAUAUUUUAUUUUUAUUUUUGAGAUAUUGAGUAAUAAUAAUCCUAGAAGUAUCAAAAAAUUUCAAUAUCAACUAAUGUGGUAAUUCUUCAUUUAUUUAUAGUUCAAUUCACCGUGAACAUCAUUUAUUUAGAUUGACAUAUUAUGUGUCACCCUAAAAAAAAAAACUGAUCUUGCCCCACAUUAAUUGAUAUUAGAAAGUUGCAAUAGUAGAACUUGGUUUAACAAGGUGGCCUUUGAGUGAGGUUAGAUCAAAUAGAAGAACAAAAAUUUCAUUGAAUGGAACUUUACUUUUGGACCUUAGGGUUAGGUUACAUCCUAGGUGUAUUCGUAUGACCACUAGAAACAAUCACGAGAUUCUUGUUUUAAAAUAAGAUGGUCCAAUCUUAAGUUGUCAUAAACAUUGCCUUGUUCUAGAAAUAGUUGGUCCAAUCUUUGUGAUCAUAUUAUUAGUAUUUACAAUCAAUAUAUGUAGUAACUUGUCAUACAAACUUCUAUUCUUUAAAACAAGACUUGCGCGACAAGGUACUUGGCUUUUAGUCAUGACUCGUUAAAUAAUAUCAACUCAUAUUUAGAACCAAUUGUCCAUGAUGUUUUUUUGAUCAAAAAUUGUUCAUGAUAAUGUUGAAGCAAGUAGACGUGGGUUUUGUUUUCUAUUCUUGUUCCUUCUAUAGGAAAUAAACUGUACAUGCCUAAUUAUGCAGCAUGCGAUCAUGUUGUUAUACUAGAAUUGCUUAAAACUUCCAUGUGGAUAAUGACAAAAAAUCGUAGGAGAAAGUUGCCCCAAACAAUAAUCAAAUCCUACAUGAAUGUUAAAGCAACAAAGGGGUUAUUAAAAAUUUAUUAAGUGUCAAAUUGCCGUAUAGGUCAUCAAGAGAUGAUAUUGUGAUGAACUAUUACUUUUGGCCUUCUAUCUAUGCCACCAAAAAUUAUCCAAUUUGUGAACGGUUAUCUAUGAUAUAAGGCUUUAUAAUUCUUUUUUUUAGUUCCCAACAGAAUCAUGGACUGUAUAUGAAGUUUUAAGUAUUAUUGUCACAUACCCGACAUGGUAAUGAUUAUAAUAUUAUGUACACUAUUAUAGGUUAAUACUUUUUAUGGAGGAUUGAGAUACAAAGGCGGCAAAGGUUUUCAUUCACACACUUCUCUCUUCUCCUCGUACGCAUCAAAUAAGGUAGCUUCUUUUUUUUUUUUUUCAAAUUUACCCUUAUUAAUUAUUUAUUGUUAAUUAAAACACAUUAACCAGUUGGGAAUUUUCCUCUUCUCCCAACUCCCUAACCCAGCUCAAGAGAAGAAGACGUCAGAGCCUAAUUUGGAUCCCACCAUCGCAUUCAUUGAUACCAACCUCAUAUCAGAAAGCUCCAUGUUUUUUUUUUUUUUUUUGGGUUGCCUGCCCUAUUUCAUAUAUUCUCUCCGUUUCUGAAAUAAGAAAAAAAGAAUAAUAAAAUCAACUUUCCAAUUGUGUCAGCUGACAGAUUGCAAUUGGUGCUAGCUGGUUCUUCUUGUGGUCACAAACUAAUCAUGCAACACUGAUUUUCUAUUCUUUUAGGUGGGAAUAUUAGCUACCAACUAGUCUAGUCACCUUAAUCAAACUCAAUUGCUUCACGGAAGUGGCCAAUGGGACCAGAGAACUUCUCAUUCCAAACAACCAAAAACUCAUAAAAUGAUCAUGAAGUCAAUCAAAUUGCAAAUUAUUAAGAAGUGAAUUGAGGGGUACUUUUCGCUUUUGGGACCCUAUAUCCAUGGCACAAUUUCUAAGUUGAAGUUGUAAAUCAAGUUCUAGUGUUCACUCCUCCAAUGGCACAAGCAAGCCCCUCUCACUUCUCAUCCUUCCUUCUGAUUCUUCUUCUCUUUGCACUGUCACUUGGGCAACAAACAACUGCAGGACAUGGACCCUCAAUCAAGGAAGCCACCAUAGACGAUCUCCAACUAGCUUUCAAGCACAAGCAGCUCACCUCAAGGCAACUAGUCCAGUUUUACCUUGGGGAAAUCAGCAGGCUCAACCCUUUCCUCAAAGGGGUCAUAGAAGUGAACCCGGAUGCGCUUUAUCUUGCGGACAAGGCUGACUACGAGCGCAAGACUAAAGCACCAUCUGUGUCACUCUCUAAGUUACAUGGCAUUCCCAUUCUGGUCAAGGACAGCAUUGCAACCGAGGACAAGUUGAACACCACAGCUGGCUCUUAUGCUCUGCUUGGCUCUGUUGUGCCCCGGGACGCCGGUGUGGUGACCAAAUUGAGGAAGGCUGGGGCAAUCAUACUGGGAAAGGCCAGCUUGAGUGAGUGGGUCUAUGGGAGGUCCAAUGAGACACCUCCUGGUUGGAGUGGCAGAGGUGGCCAAGGGGUGGUGAGUUGAGGAUCAUUAAUUGCCUCCUGUAUACCUUGUUUGAUUAAUUUAAACGGUUAAGUUCUCUUGAUAGAAACUUGGUAUGUUAUGUUGUGAAACUUUCAAUUUGAAACAUACAUUCAACUAAAAGUUCACAUAACUAAUGUUUGAGAUUGACUGACAGUUUGAUAAUAUAAGGUAACAGACAUUCUGAGAUUUAACCCACUGAGAUAACAGACAGUCUGAUAAUGUUCGGUUCAGUGCAGAACCCUUACAAUUUCAACGCGACGCCAAGCGGCUCAAGUAGCGGGUCGGCAAUAUCAGCGGCAGCAAAUCUGGCAGCAGUGACACUGGGGACUGAAACAGACGGUUCAAUUUUAAGUCCAUCCAGUUGGAACUCAGUGGUGGGCAUCAAACCAACAAUUGGCCUUACAAGUCGAGCAGGGGUUGUACCAAUCUCUCCAAGACAGGACACGGUCGGGUAAGUGGUGAUCAAUCAAUGUAAAUUAUUUUUACAUUAAUUUAGAUGGCUACCUUUUUCAGUCUCAUUGUUUGUUGGGGGGUGUUGGAUUGAACAGGCCAAUUGCUAGGACAGUAUCAGAUGCCGCAUAUGUUCUUGAUGUCAUUGCAGGCAUUGACAGCAAUGACCCUGCAACAAUUGAGGCAUCGAGGUACAUUCCCAAGGGCGGCUAUGCACAAUUUCUCAGACCUGAUGGACUUAGAGGUAAGAGAAUAGGGAUAGUGAGAGCCUUGUUCAACUUCGGCGGUGACGCUUCGUUGACUCGAACUUUUGAACAGCAUUUCAACACUUUGAGGUAACAAAACCAUGUAUUAGUCUCUCCAAUUCGAGACAUACGUUCUGUUUUGAUGACAUAAUAAGUUGUUGGAAUUUGGAAAUUUAAUGUAGGAAAAGAGGUGCUGUUUUGGUAGACAAUUUGGAAAUAGCACAUUUUGAUGAAAUCUACUAUAAUUCAAGUAGUGAAACCAUUGCAUUGGCUGCUGAGUUCAAAAUUUACUUGAACACAUACCUCAAGAACUUGGUGGCUUCGCCAGUUCGAUCCUUGGCAGACGUGAUAGCCUUCAACAAUAAAAACUCAAAACUGGUGAGUAAAUAGGAGCAAAGGUUUAUGUUACUUCCAAAUUAUGCUCAGAAUUUGUCCUAAGUAAUUGGUUGAGCUACCGGCAAUGCAGGAGAAAGUGAAGGAGUAUGGCCAAGGCCGACUCUUGGAAGCUGAAGCAACAAAUGGGAUUGGCAAUGCAGAGAAGGCAGCGCUGGUAAACUUGGCAAAGCUAUCCAAAAAUGGUUUCGAGAAGCUCGUGACGAAGAAGAGGCUAGACGCAGUGGUGGCUCCAUCUGCAACCGUGUCGACGUUGCUCGCCAUAGCAGGUUCCCCAGGUGUGGU
rnacentral:lncRNA from 1 species